GCACAAUUAAAUAUUUCAGACCGUGGAAGAAAUAUUUUUUCUCUCUUUCACUGAUAUGGUAAGAAAGAACAUCUAAUAAAAGGUCAAAGAGCUUUCGUUCUCUAUAACCCUUACUGUGUGAACUUUAUGUUCUUAUCUCCCUUUUCUUUAAGAAUAGUGAUAAUAGGAACUUGCCUCUGUGUGGCAUUCACAACCUGCCAACUCUGCCUGUGGAUUCUAUGCCCUGGUCACAGCCACUCAUCACUCUGUGUUUUGUUUCCCCUUGGCAUGGGGCAGCAGAGGUGCUGACCGACCAAUCAACUUGAUAGUGAAUGAGGCCAAUGCCCCAGGAGAGAAGGUAAUCCCUGGAGAGUUGGCAGCUCUAGGGCGAAAUAAUGAACCUUGCCAGCUGUACUAGAUCCAAGAAGACCCAUGGCUAUUGUAAACUACAAAAACAGUGUAGAGUUUCACUCUGAAAGUGACUCCUUCAUGGCAAGCUAGAGUCAGAGAAGAAUCCCACAGCAAUACCUGCCAUAUUGCCAGAGAGUAUUUAAUCAUGCAGCUUUUUAGGAAGGGGUUGAGUUUUUAAGACUGAGCCACAGAACAACUCCACUUUAAGGUUUCCAGUGUUACUUUCCCACAGGGACUGGGUGAGAGAUAGCUACAGGAGACAGCCACAGAGAAGGUGAGGGUUAGAUGCAGACACUAGUUCCAGCCUCUGUAGUGAGAUACCAGGCCUGGUAAGUGUGGCUUCUAGAGCAAGCUGGGUCUGAAAGUGCUGGCCUUAAGUUCAGCAGUCUGCCUGAAGCCCUGCUACACUGCCUACAUGUCCAGCACAGACUAGAAGUACGAUUGCUUUCCCCAUCUACCAAGUAAGCAAGGACACAUCUUGGUUUGAAUGGUUGCCAGUCUGGAGUGUAUGGACAGAGGGGCUUCUGGGAUAGGGGGUGCGGCACCUCACAAACCCAUAGUCCAUAAAGCUAGAUGGAGAAAACUGUGACUUGCUGGAUUCCAAGACUGCAGAUCCUGGAAAGAAAUCACUUAUUCAAAGGGACAGAGGAAUUUAUUUAAUUUAAUUAAUUUAUUUAUUUGUACUGGGGGGGGGAUCGAAUUCAGGAUCUUGCACUUGCCAGGCAAGCACAGCACCACUGACCUACAUCCCCAGCCCCCAGAGGAAUUUAUUUUACUCAAUUUUUCUCUUUUCUUCAUUUUUUUGAGGGGUGUGGGUACUCUCUCUCUCUCUCUCUCUCUCUCUAUCUAUCUAUCUAUCUAUCUCCUUGGCUCUAUUUAAUUCUUUUUUUUCCUUUAUUUUGAUGUUUUUUCCUUUUUUUUCUUAAUCAAUACUAUUAAUUUGAUCAAUACUAUCAGUACUCAACAGGAUUCUUUAUCUCACUUUUUUCUCCUCCUUCUCAUCUUUCACUGAUUAAUUUUUCAAAUUCUACUCUUCAUUCUCUAGUUCCCCACCCCUUUUAUUCUCACUAGUGUAACCAUUAAGCUUUAUGACUCUUUAGAUAGUUAAUUAGCUCUAUGCUAUUACUGUUGAAUACUGUUUUAUUGUUAGUGGAGAUAUACAGUUGUUGCAAGUCGUAGAUAUUUAUGGUGUGUCAAUAUUUGGUUUGUCUUAGUGUUUAAUCAGUAACUAUAGAUCUCUUUUCUAUGGUUAAUAUUACUGGUUCGUAGGGUAUAUCAAUGUCCAGUUUAUCUUUGAUGAUAUUAUUAUUGCUGAUUUUUAUUGCUAUUGCCAAGGAGGUAUAGUUAUUGCUGUUAAUUGAUUUUCUCUGUAUGCCAAUAUCUGGAUUGCCUUUGUGUCAUUAACAAUACUGUCAUCCAAGGCAUAUAGAAACCUACGUAGCCACAAUCAGAAAAGAACAUCAUGACACAUUAUAGAAAAUGCCCAGAGCUAACUGAACAAAUACUGUACACUAGGCAGGGUGAGCAGCUAAGUAGGAGAGAAACAAUAAGGGAAUCAGCAACAGGGAAAUUGGGCAAUGACAAGAAUAAGUCAAUACCUUUCAGUAAUAACUCUCAGUGUGAAUGGUCUCAAUUAUCUAAUCAAAAGACACAGAUUAGCAGAAUGGAUCAAGAAACAAAUCCAAUAGUAUGCUAUAUACAAAAAACACGUUCAACCCCAAAAAGAAAUCUA
rnacentral:lncRNA from 1 species